rnacentral:rRNA from 1 species
GNGGNNNNNGUAGCCGGCCUGAGAGGGCGACCGGCCACACUGGGACUGAGACACGGCCCAGACUCCUACGGGAGGCAGCAGUGGGGAAUAUUGCGCAAUGGGCGGAAGCCUGACGCAGCGACGCCGCGUGGGGGAUGACGGCCUUCGGGUUGUAAACCUCUUUCGCCAGGGACGAAGAGUGAUUGACGGUACCUGGAGAAGAAGCACCGGCCAACUACGUGCCAGCAGCCGCGGUAACACGUAGGGUGCGAGCGUUGUCCGGAAUUAUUGGGCGUAAAGAGCUCGUAGGCGGUGUGUCGCGUCGGCCGUGAAAACUUGGGGCUUAACUCUGAGCGUGCGGUCGAUACGGGCAUCACUUGAGUUCGGCAGGGGAGACUGGAAUUCCUGGUGUAGCGGUGAAAUGCGCAGAUAUCAGGAGGAACACCGGUGGCGAAGGCGGGUCUCUGGGCCGAUACUGACGCUGAGGAGCGAAAGCGUGGGGAGCGAACAGGAUUAGAUACCCUGGUAGUCCACGCCGUAAACGUUGGGCGCUAGGUGUGGGGACCAUUCCACGGUUUCUGUGCCGCAGCUAACGCAUUAAGCGCCCCGCCUGGGGGNANUACGG